UGGGGAAUAUUGCACAAUGGGCGCAAGCCUGAUGCAGCCAUGCCGCGUGUAUGAAGAAGGCCUUCGGGUUGUAAAGUACUUUCAGCGAGGAGGAAGGCGUUGUGGUUAAUAACCGCAACGAUUGACGUUACUCGCAGAAGAAGCACCGGCUAACUCCGUGCCAGCAGCCGCGGUCAUACGGAGGGUGCAAGCGGUAAUCGGAAUUACUGGGCGUAAAGCGCACGCAGGCGGUCUGUCAAGUCGGAUGUGAAAUCCCCGGGCUCAACCUGGGAACUGCAUCCGAAACUGGCAGGCUAGAGUCUUGUAGAGGGGGGUAGAAUUCCAGGUGUAGCGGUGAAAUGCGUAGAGAUCUGGAGGAAUACCGGUGGCGAAGGCGGCCCCCUGGACAAAGACUGACGCUCAGGUGCGAAAGCGUGGGGAGCAAACA
rnacentral:rRNA from 1 species